rnacentral:rRNA from 1 species
AUGUUGGGUUAAGUCCCGUAACGAGCGCAACCCUUGUCCUUAGUUACCAGCACGUUAUGGUGGGCACUCUAAGGAGACUGCCGGUGACAAACCGGAGGAAGGGGGGGAUGACGUCAAGUCAUCAUGGCCCUUACGGCCUGGGCUACACACGUGCUACAAUGGUCGGUACAGAGGGUCGCCAAGCCGCGAGGUNCCGCGAGGUGGAGCUAAUCUCACAAAACCGAUCGUAGUCCGGAUCGCAGUCUGCAACUCGACUGCGUGAAGUCGGAAUCGCUAGUAAUCGCGAAUCAGAAUGUCGCGGUGAAUACGUUCCCGGGCCUUGUACACCCCGCCCGUCACACCAUGGGAGUGGGUUGCACCAGAAGUAGCUAGUCUAACCUUCGGGAGGACGGUUACCACGG